rnacentral:rRNA from 1 species
CAGCCGCCGCGGGAAUACAGAGGGUGCGAGCGUUAAUCGGAUUUACUGGGCGUAAAGCGUGCGUAGGCGGCUUCUUAAGUCGGAUGUGAAAUCCCUGAGCUUAACUUAGGAAUUGCAUUCGAUACUGGGAAGCUAGAGUAUGGGAGAGGAUGGUAGAAUUCCAGGUGUAGCGGUGAAAUGCGUAGAGAUCUGGAGGAAUACCGAUGGCGAAGGCAGCCAUCUGGCCUAAUACUGACGCUGAGGUACGAAAGCACGGGGAGCAAACAGGAUUAGAUACCCCGUAGUCCCUGUCUCUUAUACC